GUCCUACGGGGGGCAGCAGUGAGGAAUAUUGGUCAAUGGCCGGAAGGCUGAACCAGCCAAGCCGCGUGAAGGACGAAGGUGCCAAGCAUUGUAAACUUCUUUUGUCAAGGGACAAAAUCAGGCUCGAGAGCCUGACCGAGGGUACUUGAAGAAAAAGCAUCGGCUAACUCCGUGCCAGCAGCCGCGGUAAUACGUAGGGGGCAAGCGUUAUCCGGAUUUACUGGGUGUAAAGGGAGCGUAGACGGCGAAGAAAGUCUGAAGUGAAAGCCCGCGGCUUAACCGCGGAACUGCUUUGGAAACUUUUU
rnacentral:rRNA from 1 species